rnacentral:rRNA from 1 species
UACGAAGGGGGCUAGCGUUGCUCGGAAUUACUGGGCGUAAAGCGCACGUAGGCGGCUUUCUAAGUCGGGGGUGAAAUCCUGGAGCUCAACUCCAGAACUGCCUUCGAUACUGGAGAGCUUGAGUCCGGGAGAGGUGAGUGGAACUGCGAGUGUAGAGGUGAAAUUCGUAGAGAUCAGGAGGAACACCCGUGGCGAAGGCGGCCCUCUGGCUCGACCCUGACGCUGAGGCGCGAAAGCGUGGGGAGCGAACGGG